UAGCGUAGGGUCCGAGCGUUGUCCGGAAUUAUUGGGCGUAAAGGGCUCGUAGGCGGUCCGUCACGUCGGGAGUGAAAACUCAGGGCUCAACCCUGAGCGUGCUUCCGAUACGGGCGGACUAGAGGUAUGCAGGGGAGAACGGAAUUCCUGAUGUAGCGGUGGAAUGCGCAGAUAUCAGGAGGAACACCGGUGGCGAAGGCGGUUCUCUGGGCCAUUACUGACGCUGAGGAGCGAAAGCGUGGGGAGCGAACAGG
rnacentral:rRNA from 1 species